rnacentral:rRNA from 1 species
AGAGUUUGAUCCUGGCUCAGAACGAACGUUGGCGGCGUGCUUAACACAUGCAAGUCGAACGAGAACGUCCCGGCUUGCCGGGAUUAGUAAAGUGGCGCACGGGUGAGUAACACGUGAGUAAUUUCCCUCUAAGCUUGGGAUAACACUGCGAAAGCGGUGCUAAUACCGAAUAAGACCACGGUAUCACAUGAUACAGUGGGAAAAGGUGGCCUCUGUAUAUGCUAUCACUUGGAGAUAAGCUCGCGGACCAUUAGCUUGUUGGUAGGGUAACGGCCUACCAAGGCCAAGAUGGUUAGCUGGUCUGAGAGGAUGAUCAGCCACACUGGAACUGAGACACGGUCCAGACUCCUACGGGAGGCAGCAGUGGGGAAUAUUGCGCAAUGGGGGAAACCCUGACGCAGUGACGCCGUGUGAGUGAUGAAGGUUUUCGGAUCGUAAAGCUCUGUCAGAUGGGAAGAAUAAAGGCAGGGAAAAUAUUUCUGCCUGAUGACGUACCAUCAGAGAAGCACCGCUAACU